rnacentral:piRNA from 1 species
UGAGAUGCUGUACCAAAAUGUGCCGUUGCA